rnacentral:rRNA from 1 species
UACGAAGGGGGCUAGCGUUGCUCGGAAUUACUGGGCGUAAAGCGCACGUAGGCGGCUUUCUAAGUCGGGGGUGAAAUCCUGGAGCUCAACUCCAGAACUGCCUUCGAUACUGGAGAGCUUGAGUCCGGGAGAGGUGAGUGGAACUGCGAGUGUAGAGGUGAAAUUCGUAGAUAUUCGCAAGAACACCAGUGGCGAAGGCGGGACUCUGGGCCGAUACUGACGCUGAGGAGCGAAAGCGUGGGGAGCGAACAGG